UACGGAGGGGGCUAGCGUUGUUCGGAAUUACUGGGCGUAAAGGGCGCGUAGGCGGCGCGAUAAGUUGGGCGUGAAAGGCCCGGGCUCAACCCGGGGACUGCGCUUGAUACUGUCGCGCUGUGAGUCCGGGAGAGGAUGGCGGAAUUCCCAGUGUAGAGGUGAAAUUCGUAGAUAUUGGGAAGAACACCAGUGGCGAAGGCGGCUCACUGGACCGUUGUUGACGCUGAGGUGCGAAAGCGUGGGGAGCAAACAGG
rnacentral:rRNA from 1 species